rnacentral:rRNA from 1 species
GACGGGGCCCGCACAAGCGGUGGAGCAUGUGGUUUAAUUCGACGCAACGCGAAGAACCUUACCAGGGCUUGACAUCCCCUGACCGCGUAUGAAAGUACGUUUUCACCCUCGGGUGACAGGGAGACAGGUGGUGCAUGGUUGUCGUCAGCUCGUGUCGUGAGAUGUUGGGUUAAGUCCCGCAACGAGCGCAACCCUUAUCCCUAGUUGCCAUCAGGUAAAGCUGGGAACUCUGGGGAGACUGCCGGUGAUAAACCGGAGGAAGGCGGGGAUGACGUCAAGUCCUCAUGGCCCUUACAUCCCGGGCUACACACGUGCUACAAUGGUUGGUACAACGAGUUGCGAGUCGGUGACGGCGAGCUAAUCUCUUAAAGCCAAUCUCAGUUCGGAUUGUAGGCUGCAACUCGCCUACAUGAAGUCGGAAUCGCUAGUAAUCGCGGAUCAGCACGCCGCGGUGAAUACGUUCCCGGGCCUU